rnacentral:rRNA from 1 species
GGGCGUAAGCGUGCGUAGGCGGCUUCUUAAGUCGGAUGUGAAAUCCCUGAGCUUAACUUAGGAAUUGCAUUCGAUACUGGGAAGCUAGAGUAUGGGAGAGGAUGGUAGAAUUCCAGGUGUAGCGGUGAAAUGCGUAGAGAUCUGGAGGAAUACCGAUGGCGAAGGCAGCCAUCUGGCCUAAUACUGACGCUGAGGUACGAAAGCAUGGGGAGCAAACAGGAUUAGAUACCCUGGUAGUCCAUGCCGUAAACGAUGUCUACUAGCCGUUGGGGCCUUUGAGGCUUUAGUGGCGCAGCUAACGCGAUAAGUAGACCGCCUGGGGAGUACGGUCGCAAGACUAAAACUCAAAUGAAUUGACGGGGGCCCGCACAAGCGGUGGAGCAUGUGGUUUAAUUCGAUGCAACGCGAAGAACCUUACCUGGUCUUGACAUAGUAAGAACUUUCCAGAGAUGGAUUGGUGCCUUCGGGAACUUACAUACAGGUGCUGCAUGGCUGUCGUCAGCUCGUGUCGUGAGAUGUUGGGUUAAGUCCCGCAACGAGCGCAACCCUUUUCCUUAUUUGCCAUCGGGUUAAGCCGGGAACUUUAAGGAUACUGCCAGUGACAAACUGGAGGAAGGCGGGGACGACGUCAAGUCAUCAUGGCCCUUACGACCAGGGCUACACACGUGCUACAAUGGUCGGUACAAAGGGUUGCUACCUAGCGAUAGGAUGCUAAUCUCAAAAAGCCGAUCGUAGUCCGGA